UAUCAGCCUUUUGGGCAUGAUUCUGUGGAGCGUGAGGAGUUAAACGCCUUCAUGCCUGCAUAUUCGUGUACUUUUGGGUGUACUUGCCUGUGUGGUUAGUUAACAUCAAUUUUGGUUAUCAUAAAAUGGUUGGAGGAAUGUAGCUUCGAUUUCGAUUGAAGUGUUAUAGCCUUCGGCAGAUGUGAUGAUCGGGAUUGAGGAUUGCAACGGAUACCCUUCGGGGCUACCUGUCUGGUCUCUGAUCGUUGCUCUGGUGCCGAAAGCGUGCUUACGGUUAUCAAAGUCGAUGGUCAAUAGGUUAGAACGGGUUAAAUUCGUUAAGGAUGUUGACGUA
rnacentral:rRNA from 1 species